UAUAGUUCUUUAUAUAAUAAUAGAGUGAAUACAAAAUAUAGCUCAUAUAUUUCAUUUCUAUAAAAAGAAAAUGUAAAGCCACUGGAAAAUCACUGUGUUUGUUUCUACAGAUCAUUAUAUAUAUAGUUAUAUAGUUGUAUAGUUAUACAGAUCACUAUAUAUAUAGUUAUAUAGUUGUAUAGUUAUACCAAAGAAGAUAUAUUGCAUAAACACACAUCUACCUCAUUAGUACAGACCAACCAAACAUCAACAUGACCACAAUCAGAAUUGGUACAGACCAACCAAACAUCAACAUGACCACAAUCAGAAUUGGUACAGACCAACCAAACAUCAACAUGACCACAAUCAGAAUUGGUACAGACCAACCAAACAUCGACAUGACCACAAUCAGAAUUGGUACAGACCAACCAAACAUCAACAUGACCACAAUCAGAAUUGGUACAGACCAACCAAACAUCAACAUGACCACAAUCAGAAUUGGUACAGACCAACCAAACAUCAACAUGACCACAAUCAGAAUUGGUACAGACCAACCAAACAUCAACAUGACCACAAUCAGAAUUGGUACAGACCAACCAAACAUCAACAUGACCACAAUCAGAAUUGGUACAGACCAACCAAACAUCAACAUGACCACAAUCAUAAUUGGUACAGACCAACCAAACAUCAACAUGACCACAAUCAGAAUUGCCAGUUUCCACAUUUAGCCUUUUUUUUGGUUCAUACACAGCAUUCGCUUAAGGCAAUACAAACCUAGGUGGACCCCAUUCAUUCGCUUAAGGCAAUACAAACUUAGGUGGACCCCAUUCAUUCGCUUAAGGCAAUACAAACCUAGGUGGACCCCAUUCAUUCGCUUAAGGCAAUACAAACCUAGGUGGACCCCAUUCAUUCGCUUAAGGCAAUACAAACCUAGGUGGACCCCAUUCAUUCGCUUAAGGCAAUACAAACCUAGGUGGACCCCAUUCAUUCGCUUAAGGCAAUACAAACUUAGGUGGACCCCAUUCAUUCGCUUAAGGCAAUACAAACCUAGGUGGACCCCAUUCAUUCGCUUAAGGCAAUACAAACCUAGGUGGACCCCAUUCAUUCGCUUAAGGCAAUACAAACCUAGGUGGACCCCAUUCAUUCGCUUAAGGCAAUACAAACCUAGGUGGACCCCAUUCAUUCGCUUAAGGCAAUACAAACCUAGGUGGACCCCAUUCAUUCGCUUAAGGCAAUACAAACCUAGGUGGACCCCAUUCAUUCGCUUAAGGCAAUACAAACCUAGGUGGACCCCAUUCAUUCGCUUAAGGCAAUACAAACCUAGGUGGACCCCAUUCAUUCGCUUAAGGCAAUACAAACCUAGGUGAACCCCAUUAAUUCGCUUAAGGCAAUACAAACCUAGGUGAACCCCAUUCAGGUUUGAAGAAAGCAACCUGUUUUCUUUGUUGUGUGGGGAUUGCCAGGACUCUAUUUCAUGUACACAAUAUAGCACAGCUUUAUCUGUUAUUGUGUUGAUAAGAGGGUAAAGGAUUUGUAGUAUAUAUUGUAACUUAAAGUUAAAUAAAGGUAAUGAUGUUCAACUGUAAUGUCACGAAGUAGGAAACGACCCUGCACUCCAGGUGCCAGUUCUGCUAUUGAAGGUGGUUGUAGUCUGUUAUUAAAUUCCAGUGUUUACUUGAACAAAAAGUUUUCUUUGGGAAAUCAGGCCAUGAUAUGGAUGUAAAAGGUCAGAUAUACAAGGCUAUAUUCCAAUGUCCAUAGUAGAAUACCACUUAGAAUGUCUGGAAGCAUAGAUCACGUUGCUUCAUUCUAAGCAACAUGCACAUUAAGGAGGAGGUACGAAAGAGCAAACAUUCUGUCAUAACUAUGUCACUUCCUGUGGAGUCAUUAAAGCAUGUGUAUCCAGUGCUCCUCUGAUGCACUCUGCUCUGCCUCUAUUAUAUUGAUGUUUUAAGAGGUCCUAAAGUUUUACAAGGGUCCCUUCUUGAUAUUAUAUGGAGAUCCGAUGCUCCAACAAAAGCAUUGUAGAAGGAACCCAGCUGCAAAGCUGUGUGGAUCGAUUGUGGAUUCAUGUCCAAGUUCUGUGUGGAUCGAUUGUGGAUUCAUGUCCAAGUUCUGUGUGGAUCGAUUGUGGAUUCAUGUCCAAGUUCUGUGUGGAUCGAUUGUGGAUUCAUGUCCAAGUUCUGUGUGGAUCGAUUGUGGAUUCAUGUCCAAGUUCUGUGUGGAUCGAUUGUGGAUUCAUGUCCAAGUUCUGUGAGGAUAGACUAUAGAUUCAUUGUCCAUGUUCUAACUUGAGCUAUGUGGGAGUAAAAUAUAAUGCAAACAUUCAGUUCAUUCAUGUCAAGAUUAGUGGCAACGUUUGAGUGGAUCUCACAUAGCUCAGGUCCGGACUGAGCUAUGUGUACAUGCUGUUGAUAUGGAAUCCAUAUUAAUGUAGGAGAAUGUAUAAUAUAUGUUCAUCCGUACUCAAUGUAGCAAAACCACACAACGAUUUACAUCAUCAACAACAACAAAAACGACUACCCCAUUAUUUUAAUGUAGUUGUGAAGAUGAUACUUCCUGAAGGACAGAUAUGUAGUGUAUUUAUGGAGGAAGUCAAAAGGGGCACAAAAAAGCAUUUUCAUUUUUUUUUCUCCUAUUAUAUUAGCCUUUUGAUAGAACAUUUAAAGAGAUAUAUUCUAUUUGUUAUCACAGCACUGGCACAGUCUAUCUUUCACGGCUGUUCCUUCCCCAUUCCCUUCCUGUACUGCUCAGCUAUGGAUGCGGGACAACUCUAAACAUUUAGCCAAUCAUUGUGUAGCUUUUUGCCGACUGAAUCAACAAGAACAUCUAGUACAAUCAGCAUAAUUCUCGUAACCAAAGAUAUUUUUUUUUAAACAGCAAGAAAGAGAUGCCAAACAUCACAGAGAACAAGCUGAGUGUAACAAAGCUAUAACAAGAGGAUUAAUACGUGUGGGAAAAGAUUCUCACUUAUUGUAGCUACUUAUAACUUAAAUAACAUGUGGUUUACUGGUAGAUUUAAGGUCUUAUAAGGGCUGUGUAUGAAGCUUUCAAUAUUUCUUUUAUUUUCUCUUUUGUCCAUUUUGGAUGAAUCCAGUGCAUUAUGGGAAUGCUGGAUUGUGGUGCUCAGGGGUUAGUUUGUUUUGCCAUUUGAUGUGUAGCAUAUUUAGAAAUAAAAUACUGCUUUUGACUUCA